GCGGCGGGCUUAACACAUGCAAGUCGAAGGAGAAAGUAAAAGCUUGCUUUUACUGGAGACUGGCGGACGGGUGAGUAACGCGUAGAUAACCUGCCUAUAGCUGGGGGAUAACACUGCGAAAGUGGUGCUAAUACCGCAUAAUGCAGCGGGGCCGCAUGGCCAUAGUUGUUAAAGGUUUCGACCGGCUAUAGAUGGGUCUGCGUGCUAUUAGUUAGUUGGUAGGGUAACGGCCUACCAAGGCGAUGAUAGCUAGGGGGUCUGAGAGGAUGAUCCCCCACACUGGGACUGAGACACGGCCCAGACUCCUACGGGAGGCAGCAGUGAGGAAUCUUGCGCAAUGGGCGAAAGCCUGACGCAGCCACGCCGCGUGCCGGAUGAAGGCCCUAUGGGUUGUAAACGGCUUUUACUAGGGAAGAACGAGAGGGUUUUGAUCUUCUGUGACGGUACCUAGUGAAUAAGCACCGGCUAACUCCG
rnacentral:rRNA from 1 species